UUUGGUGAUUUGGGAAGAUCUGUUAAGAGUUCGCAGAAUCUGGUGCUAUAAGAAAUCGAAGAAGAAAGAAGAGCAUAUGAAGAUGUUAUAAAGAAAAAGUUGAUGAUUAAGCUCAAAAUUUUACGAAGUUAGGGUUCGAGAAGAAAUUGAGGAUUUUCUCGAUUUGGAGUUUGUUGUUGGAGUUUGAUUAAACCUAACAUUCAAUCUACAGGGAAUCACCAAAAUUUAGGAUUUUCUCGAUUUGGAGUCCGCGGUUGGAGAUGGAAUUGAUGAUUGUCCGCCGAUUGAAUCUAGAAGAAUUGGAAGCAUGGGUUACGAUUGGUAAAGCUUGGGUUAUCCUCAGAUUGAGAUAUCCCUACAAGGAGCUGAAUCUCUCCAUUUCUUCCAAAUUGAUCUUCUGGACUAUGAUUCUGUAUUUUCAUCCAUUAAUGGCAUUGUUGGUGUUUUCCAUUUAGCUUUUCCUUGUAUUGUUGAUACAGUUGAUGAUCCUCAGGUUCUACUUUGUUGCAUCAUGUUGCGCAACAACACUCUCCUUACUCUAUUUAUCCAUGAGAUAUAUUGGCUGCCUCAAGCUAAGAGUAGGGUGCCGUUAGUAUUUUGUUUUCGUCCAUUGAUAUUGUGCAACGUGUCAGUCAUCCAUUGAAGAAACCUUAGGGUUAAUCAUUUGUUGUUAAGCUGUAAGAGAGUAUUAUCUUCUUUUUUAUGCUUUAAUGAAAUAGAAUUAGUUUGCUACGCUUCCUAAAGCCAGAUAUUGGUCUGAUUCAUUGAUUCAGGAGGUGUUUACACCAAUCCUUCCAUUUCUGUUUGAUAAUUUGUUGUAGUAAUACAACAACUUCUACCUCUAAAAAUGUUGUUUAAAAUCCUCAGAUUCCUGUAAUUGCAGCUUAUUUGGUUGAUUUUUGUUUUCUCAGAGGCAAUUGUUGGCUCCUGCAGUAAAGGAAACGAUGAAUGUACUUAAAGCAGCAAAGGAAUGUGGAGUAAAACGAGCUGUGCUAACUUGAUCGAUUUCGGUUAUAAGCCGAGUCCUAAUUGUCCGGCUGAUGUACCUAAAAGGGAGGAUUGCUGGGAUGAUCUUGAUUAUUGGAAGAAAGAUGGAGUGAGUUUUAAUGUUCACCAUGGAGUGUUAUGGAACGUAUCUUACUUGUUUGUAACUAGUCCAUUCAACUUAAAUGUCCGAUUUAACAUGCCUUUUAGUUAGGAAAAGGAAAGCAUCACUGAUAUUUGCAUCUAGAAACCAGUCUAGUCUUAAUUGAUGUUCAGAUGCUAAUUUGCAACCCCAGAGGUCUAAAGCUGAUUAGAUUGAUCCUUUAUAUGCUGUUCAGAUUAGUACUGGCCUAGGAAAUGGUAGGUUCGGCCAUUCCACCGCCAGAAACUAUGUGGAUUUCCAUUUCACUUUAUGAGCCGGAUGUGUCUGAUUUAGCACUCAUUGAGCUAGAUAAACAAAGUACCACUGAUAAAUCUAAAACUGCUUACUUGAGGUUUUAAAGUCUAUUUCCCGUCCCUAAGGUUUUAAAGUCUAUUUGAUGAAUCACAUUCAUAUGUAAAGUUCUUGGUGUUUUUGAUAUGUUACUGGUGUUGGUGUAUUCGGUGUUUAUGUUAUGGUUCAUUGACAGUUAUGUUACCCAGCUUCUAAGAUAAUGGCAGAAAAAGCCGCAUGGGACAGUUAUGUUACCCAGCUUCUAAGAUAAUGGCAGAAAAAGACGCAUGGGAUUGUGCUAACGAAACGGGGCUAUGGCAGUGAUCAACCCCGGAACUGUAAGGCAAUUGUUGGCUCCUGCAGUAAAGGAAACGAUGAAUGUACUUAAAGCAGCAAAGGAAUGUGGAGUAAAACGAGCUGUGCUAACUUGAUCGAUUUCGGUUAUAAGCCGAGUCCUAAUUGUCCGGCUGAUGUACCUAAAAGGGAGGAUUGCUGGGAUGAUCUUGAUUAUUGGAAGAAAGAUGGAGUGAGUUUUAAUGUUCACCAUGGAGUGUUAUGGAACGUAUCUUACUUGUUUGUAACUAGUCCAUUCAACUUAAAUGUCCGAUUUAACAUGCCUUUUAGUUAGGAAAAGGAAAGCAUCACUGAUAUUUGCAUCUAGAAACCAGUCUAGUCUUAAUUGAUGUUCAGAUGCUAAUUUGCAACCCCAGAGGUCUAAAGCUGAUUAGAUUGAUCCUUUAUAUGCUGUUCAGAUUAGUACUGGCCUAGGAAAUGGUAGGUUCGGCCAUUCCACCGCCAGAAACUAUGUGGAUUUCCAUUUCACUUUAUGAGCCGGAUGUGUCUGAUUUAGCACUCAUUGAGCUAGAUAAACAAAGUACCACUGAUAAAUCUAAAACUGCUUACUUGAGGUUUUAAAGCCGCAUGGGACAGUUAUGUUACCCAGCUUCUAAGAUAAUGGCAGAAAAAGACGCAUGGGAUUGUGCUAACGAAACGGGGCUAUGGCAGUGAUCAACCCCGGAACUGUAAGGCAAUUGUUGGCUCCUGCAGUAAAGGAAACGAUGAAUGUACUUAAAGCAGCAAAGGAAUGUGGAGUAAAACGAGCUGUGCUAACUUGAUCGAUUUCGGUUAUAAGCCGAGUCCUAAUUGUCCGGCUGAUGUACCUAAAAG